ACCCAGACCGGAGGGCAGAGGCGGGCACUGCCCGCGGGCCAGGGAGCAGCGAGGCCCGCCAUCCCGCCCAGCACCCGGGGAGGCGCCGGGCCCCACGCUGCUGGAGCCCCCACUCACGACCAGAAACUCGCACUUCGUCGCCAACGAAACAGAAACCCCAGCGCGUCAGGUGGAGGAGCAGAGACGGGUGGCGCGGGGUCACUCAACGGCCGGCACUUGCACUCUCCUGGGAAGGCCGGAGCGUGGGGCCCUCCUCGGGCUGCCCCCGGCCUUGCCCUCCCCGAUCCGGUUCAGAAUCCCACAAGGACACGGCAGACCCUCGGCACCCAGCGGAGACAGCGGGUAAACUGAGGCACCGCCCCAAGCCUGCUACACGUGGCCACCAGGCAGCGUUCCAGGUGGGAGCGAAGCCACCGAACCAGCCACUCUCUCCAGAAGCGAACGCUGACGUUUUCACUUUACCAAGGCCACUGCCAAGUACCGUGGACUCUCCUGCGCUGAUGAGGACACAAAGCUAGAGACACGGCCACGAGUCGCAAAACCAGGAAGCCACCGGAGUGCGGACCUCUGCAAGGUCACAGUGUCCGGCUCUAACCUCUCCUGAUGCCAUGUCGCAGAGCCUUGACCCAAAAAGGAAGCUGCUCACACACACGGAGUAUGAUCGGAAGGACAGAAGCUUUAGGGUUCCUUUUCUUUUCACUGAUGUGACACACGGAUGUCACACUCAUUUUCUGAGGUGGAAAGAUAACACCAUUUGCAGAACAUGAGGCCAGGAAGCUUGGCUUGAGUGUUUUCCUGGGGGCACCGCUUACCAUGUCCCUUCAAGAGCCAAACGGGGGCGGGGGGGGGUGUCUUCUACGGAUCAUGCCGGGCAUGGGUGGUUCUAUCCAGAACGGGUGUCCUCCUGAGGCAGCACCGUCAGGGUGAACGCUUCUCUACGGCCCAGCAGAUCGGGCAGCAAGCUCGCCUCUGAGCCUCAGCCUGCGCAUCAGGAAGACCCGGGGACAAUCAGAUGCACCCCGUCAGGCUGAGGACGCGCUGGGGUUCCACGCGGGGCCCUGGGGCAGCCUGGCGCACAGGACGGCCCCCAGACGCAGUCCUGCUCCCUGUCCCUCCGGCCUGUGGGAGGAGCGGUGCGCCCUGGGCCCCCAGACGCCCGCAGAGAAGGCAGCAGGACUGGAAGCUCCGGCCCUCGCUGACUGAACCAGCACAACAUGUGGUAGCACUUGGGAGUGCAGCAGGUCUUCCUCUCAAGCAAACUCCUGCCCGGUGGUAAAAUUACAAAAGAGCCAGAGAAAAACUGCAUAAACUAUGUUUUUGGGGAAAAUCACCUUUAAAAAGUAGAACGGACACUUUCCAAACAUCCACAUGUGAGCAUCACAUUGGCUUCGUGGCCACACGUGGCACAGGCUUCAAAGCUACACUGGUGAUCAAAAGGACAAUAUAAAUGCAGAGAGCUUCAUUCGUCUUUCGGGGCUGUCAGCCUGAAGAAUUAUGUAGAAGAAUAAAGAAAUAACUAAGAUGUUUGCUUGAAGAAGCCGACCACAUUUCAUUGCUGACAUCAUUUUAUUAAUGGUGACGGAUACGAUUUCCGACCUCUGCCCCUCGGAGUCGUGUGUCAGAGCGGGGGAGAUGGGGAGCAUUUUCCUGGAGACUCUCCGGCUCUGACACUAGUUCUGCAGCCACAGCCGGAGGAGCGCGCAGCCCAGCAAGCCGCCUCGCCUUUUUCCUUUAAUCUCUACUGAUCCCUUCGAAAAUCCCUCAGGGCCUCACCUGCUCCUGGCGGCCCUCCCCGAAGGCUGCUUCUGCCCCUGGCGACAGAGCCAAACUGUCCCUUCCUGAGGCUGCAGCCUCUGCCGGUGCCAAUGACUUUGUCUUGUCAUCCUCUAACUUCUUCUUCUUCUUCGCUCUUUGCUCUAUGUUAAACUGAGUGAGCUCUUCAUUUUUCUCUGUGAUAUAUUUUAGCUACAAAAAAAAAAAAAGUAAAGAAUUCCAUUUUGA